CCCGAGUAGCUGCAGCUACCAGGGGCACUCCCUAAACCAGCAGUCCUUGGUGUGAUGGAACAGUGGAGGAUAUAAGCCAAGCCUGCUGGGGAUAGCAAAUGGUGCUGCCAGCAGGGGUGACACUGAAGGGGGUUAUUGCUUUAGCUUGUGUCUGGGGUGUGGUGAAGGUUUUCAUUUCUUGGUGAAACACAGAACUGGGUAAUGUGAGUCUGUCCCUUUAAUUCUGGGAGGUAAAGAUCUAAUUGUUUGGGAGCUGUUGGCAAAAUGCCUUGAGCUUAUCCACAAAGUGAAUGUCUACAAUCCCCACCCCAAAAGUGAUCAUGCAUCGUGCAUAGGCUACUAAAGAAAACAUCUGCAAGUCAAACAGAUAGUCCAUGCCAAGAUGAAACUCAGACAACUAGUGCAGAACAUAUUAUGACGUUUGUACCUGAGCUGAUACAACAAGAAAUAGAGCAUAGUAUGUAAUCAUAAUCUUCCAGUGGAGUUACAAGAGAAAUUAGUUUUUUCUGUAAAAGGGAAAUAGGUUUUAACUUUAAAGGAACAAAAAAUAUAUACAAUCCUUAAUGUUAAUAUGCGCAAAUGUUGAUUAUGUUUGUAAUUCACUUCCAACAAUGUUCAUGGUAAGAAGCACAAGCACUCUCACUAAAGUUUUUAUCAAUACUCAGAACAAUAGAUACACUUUUCAGGAUGGUCCUGAAAGGCCUGACAUCAGCAGUGGUGAAGAGAGAUGUGCCCAGCUAUAGGCAAAACCCAAUCAAGCAGCGGCCACAGAAAACAGUCUUGCUGCCUUUGAAUUCUUGAAUUCCCAAAACAAGAUUAUUCAGGAAAGAAUUUCAACUUGUUAUCGUAAACCCAAAGCCUCAGUAUAUAAUUCUCGUGCUGUAGAAAAGCCAGCUUAAAAGCUGCUUGAAAACAAAAGUGAAUACAAGGAAAUUGUGUUGGCAAUAUAAUGCAAGUGUAUACACUUCUUCUGCACAAUACACAACUUUGUAAACUUC